AUUGAACGCUGGCGGCAGGCCUAACACAUGCAAGUCGAGCGGAUGAAGGGAGCUUGCUCCUGGAUUCAGCGGCGGACGGGUGAGUAAUGCCUAGGAAUCUGCCUGGUAGUGGGGGAUAACGUCCGGAAACGGGCGCUAAUACCGCAUACGUCCUGAGGGAGAAAGUGGGGGAUCUUCGGACCUCACGCUAUUAGAUGAGCCUAGGUCGGAUUAGCUAGUUGGUGGGGUAAAGGCCUACCAAGGCGACGAUCCGUAACUGGUCUGAGAGGAUGAUCAGUCACACUGGAACUGGGACACGGUCCAGACUCCUACGGGAGGCAGCAGUGGGGAAUAUUGGACAAUGGGCGAAAGCCUGAUCCAGCCAUGCCGCGUGUGUGAAGAAGGUCUUCGGAUUGUAAAGCACUUUAAGUUGGGAGGAAGGGCAGUAAGUUAAUACCUUGCUGUUUUGACGUUACCAACAGAAUAAGCACCGGCUAACUUCGUG
rnacentral:rRNA from 1 species